rnacentral:pre_miRNA from 1 species
AAUCUACUCCCUCUGUCCCGAAUUAGUUGACUCAGAUUUGUCUAGAUACGGAUGUAUCUAGACACGUUUUAGUGUUUGAUACAUUUGUAUCUUGACAAAUCUAAGACAACUAAUUUGGGACGGAGGUAAUACUUU